rnacentral:rRNA from 1 species
UACGGGGGGGCAAGCGUUGUUCGGAAUUACUGGGCGUAAAAGGGCGCGUAGGCGGUGCAUUUGGUCAGGCGUGAAAUUCCUGGGCUUAACCUGGGGACUGCGCUUGAGACGGGUGUGCUGGAGGGCAGGAGAGGCUCGCGGAAAUUCCCAGUGUAGAGGUGAAAUUCGUAGAUAUUGGGAAGAACACCGGUGGCGAAGGCGGCGAGCUGGCCUGUACCUGGACGCUGAGG